rnacentral:rRNA from 2 species
UUAAAUUGAAGAGUUUGAUCAUGGCUCAGAUUGAACGCUGGCGGCAGGCCUAACA